UGCAAUGCUGAAAUGCACAGAUGCUGAAAUGCGUGAUAACUGUCGCCUCGCCUGUGUGAGUAAAAAUGAUAUAGCAUCCUUUUGAACAAAUAGUUAUUUCCAAAAGUCUUAAUGUGUAGUGUUCCUUCAAAGAUCAAAGGGAAGCAAAUUUUAUGCAACAAUUACGACUGAUCAAUAGUUCUAUACUACAUACAAGUGAACUUCAGAAAUAUUUUGAAUAUUAUAGCUGCAAUCAACCAAUUUGCCUACCAGAGCAAUAGUUGUACUAACCAAGACCUGAUCCGGUGUCCUUGGGAGGUGCGUCAGCCUUGAUACGAGGUGGCCUAACAACACGAUC
rnacentral:lncRNA from 1 species